AACAACCUGCCUUCAGGAUGGGGACAACANACGAAACGACUGCUAAUACCGAAUAAAGUUCCAAGAGCCGCAUGGCCCAUGGAAGAAAAGGUGGCCUCUACCUGUAAGCUAUCGCCUGAAGAGGGGUUUGCGUCUGAUUAGCUGGUUGGAGGGGUAACGGGCCCACCAAGGCGACGAUCAGUAGCCGGUCUGAGAGGAUGAACGGCCACACUGGAACUGAGACACGGUCCAGACUCCUACGGGAGGCAGCAUG
rnacentral:rRNA from 1 species